GAAUCUUCAAGCCUUGCUUGGUGUUGGGUGCUGUCUCGACGAAACCGUUUUUGGUUUCUACAGACUCGCCUUGAAUAAAUUGGCAGCCGGCAAUUGGGUGUUAGAGCGCAGCACAAUUUGCGUUCUCAGCCACAGUAGCUUUGGCGUCCACAAAGCUUAUUUUAAC
rnacentral:misc_RNA from 1 species